rnacentral:lncRNA from 1 species
UUUUUUUCUUAUUCUCUUUUUCUCUUCUUCUCUUCUUCUCUUCUUCUUCUCUUCUUCUUUACUUCUUCUCCUUCUUAUUUUUUUCUUCUCUUCUUCUUCUUCUUCUUCUUCUCCUUUUAUUUUUUUUUCUCCUCUUCUUCUUCUUCUUCUUCUUCUUCUCCUCCUCCUCCUACUCCUCUUCUUAUUCUCCUCUUCUCCUCCUCCUCCUCCUCUUCUUCUUCCUCC